UCAACUAUGGCAGUGACUGGGGGACUUGUUCUAGGAUAAACAAAUGACUCCAAACAAGAACCUCAGGGCAGCCAAUCCUAAGAAAAGAGGUGAACCUGAAGCAGUAAGAGUAAGCGUUCAGGUGCUGGUGCUAUGACCUUUUUUCCACCUUUUUUCGAAUCGAAUGAUGCAACGUUCUUAGAAAGCGUAUCAAAAGGUGUUCCUAUUCAAUGAUUGAAUGAUCAACACACCUCCUUUCUAUUGAUUAUCUUCAACAAAAUCACCCACAUUCAACUGCCACGUGAAUGAAGAAUCAAGUUGUUGACCCAUUAUUUGUUCACUUUCAACAAGGUCGCAAGGCCUUAUGAUCGUCGUAGUGGUGGUCUAAAACAAUUGGUCUAAAACAACAUAGAAUAUUUCUAUGAUCUACGCAUCGAAAUCAUCGUCCUACACCCUUCAUUUAUAUUUUUACCAACGUUCAUGAAAACUCAUCUCAACCGGCCCUACGUGUCAUCGCGGUUACCCAUAAAUAUUGUUUCGAGUCUUCCAUGAACCACUGUCGAAUAAAUUAUUUUAGAUUGCUCCGA